UACGUAGGGGGCAAGCGUUACUCGGAAUCACUGGGCGUAAAGCGCAGGUAGGCGGUUCGGUAAGUCUCUUGUGAAAGCUCCCGGCUCAACUGGGAGAGGUCAAGGGAAACUACCGGGCUAGAGUGUGGCAGAGGAAGCUGGAAUUCCCGGUGUAGCGGUGAAAUGCGUAGAGAUCGGGAGGAAUACCUAUGGCGAAAGCAGGCUUCUGGGCCGUCACUGACGCUGAUGUGCGAAAGCUAGGGGAGCAAACAGG
rnacentral:rRNA from 1 species